UGUGCCUACGGGACGCAGCAGCCGCGGUAAUACGUAGGUGGCAAGCGUUAUCCGGAUUUAUUGGGCGUAAAGGGAACGCAGGCGGUCUUUUAAGUCUGAUGUGAAAGCCUUCGGCUUAACCGGAGUAGUGCAUUGGAAACUGGGAGACUUGAGUGCAGAAGAGGAGAGUGGAACUCCAUGUGUAGCGGUGAAAUGCGUAGAUAUAUGGAAGAACACCAGUGGCGAAAGCGGCUCUCUGGUCUGUAACUGACGCUGAGGUUCGAAAGCGUGGGUAGCAAACAGGAUUAGAUACCCCAGUAUCCGCA
rnacentral:rRNA from 1 species